rnacentral:rRNA from 1 species
GUGAGGAAUAUUGGUCAAUGGGCGAGAGCCUGAACCAGCCAAGUAGCGUGAAGGAUGACUGCCCUAUGGGUUGUAAACUUCUUUUAUAAAGGAAUAAAGUCGGGUAUGCAUACCCGUUUGCAUGUACUUUAUGAAUAAGGAUCGGCUAACUCCGUGCCAGCAGCCGCGGUAAUACGGAGGAUCCGAGCGUUAUCCGGAUUUAUUGGGUUUAAAGGGAGCGUAGAUGGAUGUUUAAGUCAGUUGUGAAAGUUUGCGGCUCAACCGUAAAAUUGCAGUUGAUACUGGAUAUCUUGAGUGCAGUUGAGGCAGGCGGAAUUCGUGGUGUAGCGGUGAAAUGCUUAGAUAUCACGAAGAACUCCGAUUGCGAAGGCAGCCUGCUAAGCUGCAACUGACAUUGAGGCUCGAAAGUGUGGGUAUCAAACAGGAUUAGAAACCCUAGUAGUCC